rnacentral:misc_RNA from 1 species
GCACAAGUUUUCCAGCUCCCAUGUAAGAUAACGCACUAGGAUUAUUAACCUGUGGAAGAACUCCAAAGAGUAUAAGAACAUCUCCAGGUUUAAAUGAAAUGUUUUCCAGUAGCCAUCUGAUUGCGCUCGGGCUAACAUCCCUCGAUGCAUCUUAGACAGCCACUACUCUUCGAGGUUGAGCUUCUAUAGACAUGAUUUAAGCAGAUU